CCUACGGGUGGCAGCAGUGGGGAAUAUUGCACAAUGGGCGAAAGCCUGAUGCAGCAACGCCGCGUGAAGGAAGACGGGUUUCGGCUCGUAAACUUCUUUCAACAGGGCCGCAAGAAAUGACGGUACCCGAAUAAGAAGCCCCGGCGAACUACGUGCCAGCAGCCGCGGUAAUACGUAGGGGGCAAGCGUUAUCCGGAAUGACUGGGUGUAAAGGGUGAGUAGGCGGCAUGGUAAGCCAGAUGUGAAAGCCUUUGGCUUAACCCGAGGAUUGCAUUUGGAACUAUCAAGCUAGGGUACAGGAGAGGAAAGCGGAGUUCCUAGUGUAGCGGUGAAAUGCGUAGAUAUUAGGAAGAACACCAGUGGCGAAGGCGGCUUUCGGGACUGAAACUGACGCUGAGGAACGAAAGCGUGGGGAGCGAACAGGAUUAGAUACCCUGUAGUC
rnacentral:rRNA from 1 species